AUGAACGCUGGCGGCGUGCUUAACACAUGCAAGUCGAACGAGGUCCAACCUUCGGGUGAAGACCGAGUGGCGAACGGGUGAGUAACGCGUGGGGAACCUGCCCAUCUCUCUGGGAUAACUCCGGGAAAUCGGAGCUAAUACCGGAUACUCCUUGCGGAUCGCAUGGUCUGCUUGGGAAAGCUACGGCGGAGAAGGAUGGCCCCGCGGCCCAUUAGCUUGUUGGUGGGGUAAUGGCCCACCAAGGCGACGAUGGGUAGCCGGGCUGAGAGGAUGAUCGGCCACACUGGGACUGAGACACGGCCCAGACUCCUACGGGAGGCAGCAGUGGGGAAUCUUGCGCAAUGGGCGAAAGCCUGACGCAGCAACGCCGCGUGCGGGAUGAAGGCUCUCGGGCCGUAAACCGCUUUCAGCAGGGAUGAAAAUGACAGUACCUGCAGAAGAAGCCCCGGCUAAAUACGU
rnacentral:rRNA from 1 species